GACCUGCCUCUGCUGCUUCCACCCUGAUCGGGAGCAGGGAGAUAAGAAGAAGAGGGUGAGGGUGAGAAUGUGGGAGGCAGGAGACGAUCGCCAGACAGAUUACGAGCAGACACGAAGACACGUAAUCUGUGAAAUGAAACAUCCUCCAACAGUUAUGUCUAUUCUUUAAAAAACCCAACCAUAACAUUAAAGCUUAUCGACACCGUUAUGACCAGAUGCAGUAAAAGGUGAUGACAGUGUUUGUGUCUCAUCAGUGUGUUCUUCAGCAGAGCCGAGCCGUCGCCGUCAGAUCAGAGACUGUGUGACUAAGCGAGACUUCGCUGUGACCAGAUGUUGGAACAUCACAGCGUUUCAUCGGAAAAGAAAAACAUCUGCCGGAACAAUCGUUCGUUCUGUUUUCCGACCCUGGAAACGCCAUGACGCAGAAAGCAGCAGCCUGAAGGACCUGAGCGUCAUGAUCACGAUUCACCAUGUACGGGCUCAUGACCAGUUGUGCGUAUCGACCACAAACAGCGGUGAGGAACAUUGUGAGCUCAGCUUCUCGCCUCGAGCAUCACCAGCCACUUGAUGGGGCCGAGCCAGCUCAACUGAAACUAAUCCCGUUACUGUCCUGCACCGGCGGGUUCACAGCGUCGAGGACCACUUGAUGCCCAGUCCAGCUUCUCUCUCUGAGCUCUGAGAUGAUGAGAGGGAGAAAGGUCGAGGCAACACGCAGGAGUGCAAAGUGUUGUGUCAAACUUCAAACGCAUUCCUGACCGCUGACAAAACAUCCCCCUGAAAAACACAUGUUACAAACAGACGCGAAAUAUUAGCGUUACCGCUUCGAAUAGGCCCCUUGGGGAAACAUCAGCCCCCUGACACACACACACACACACUCGCUGACCUACAUGCACACAAACAUUCACUCGUGCUCCGUUUCCUGUGCUCUGAUUCCACCAUUUCGGAACUUUAGAGGACCUCUCGUUGACGUGCGCAAAAACACAGGGUCGGAGGUUAAACGUGGCAGUAACGCGGCGCAUGGCUGCGGGUCGCUGAUAACCGCAGCUGUCAGAGCCGUCAGGGAGAGUCCCACAUGGGCCGUCCCGCCACCGCUCGGCAGGCUGCGGCUUUCGAAGGACCAGCUGCCGCGAGGAGAUGGGAAGUGGUGACGUCGCCUGUAUGACCCUCUGACCCCCCGCUGUCCUCAAAGUGAAAAUGAAUCGGGGACGGAGGUCACGGCAGAAAUGCGCCCCCGAGAGAGGGAAUAAAUCUGUCGUGUGUGUGUGUCGGCAGGAGACAGCGCUGGAACCCGUGGGUCAUGGAAACAGGUAUCGUCCCACCGACAUCUCCGAGAAAAAACUAUUAUAUUCUUAGGUAAACUGCCACGGCAAAUACGUUCUGCAAGAAGAGUCAUCGGUGACAGGAUUACCUUCAGAGGAAAUCGUUGUUUUUAAAAGAAACAAUAUCCUAAUAGAAAAUAUAAUCUGGUGGCUAUGAGACUGGGUUGAGUCAAGUCAACGUAUUAGUACAACUGAAGUAUUAGCAGCAAAACGUAGUUGAGGUAUCAAAGUUCAAGUCAAAGUUUUGGUCCCUCUGAUGUAUUAUAAUAUAUGACAUCAUUAGACUGUGAAGCGUCAGUGUGAUGUUACUGUACACUAGAGGUUUAUAUACAGUUUUAAAAACAGGAAGAGCAGAUAAAUCUGAAGCAUCGUCAGACGAUUAAUGAGAAGAUAGAGACGGAAAAACGAUGUGCUAAUUCACAGAUACGUCCUUUAAUCUUUUCUGUGUCUUGUGAUAUAAAGGAAGUCGAGAGCUCAGGUAGUUUACUUCCCUCGUGUAACUUUCCAUUCAGACUCACAACAGAUUGGACUGUAAACAGUGUCGAGAGCAGGUCCUGACUCAACACUGCUCACUGUACAUAGCGAGAAUAUCCACCACCUGUUUAAUCAAACGCUUUUCAACCCAUUCAGCAAACAUGAGCACACACACACAAUCUGCAACCAGCACACACGCACUCGUCCCUCUCCGGUGGAGAUUUUUCCACGAUCGGCCGGCGACGCUCCGGUUCGUCGCGGGAUAUAAAAGCUUCUCUGUGCCGAGCGGCGCAACAACCGCCGAGCUUCAUCUGCCGCCAGACUUGUUGGCACAGGUGUAUUUUUCUUAGCCGGCCACAAUGUGACACGAUGUGUGGACUGUUGUGUGACUCUGUACGGGGAAAGUUUUAAAGGUAAAGGACCAGUUCACCCAAAAUAGAAACAUUUUUGGAAUGUCCGAGCUGUGUUGAGCAAAGUUACUACUUGCAAAGUGUAUUUAACCAAUAGAAGAAUAAAUCUGCGUCAUUACAUUG